GGUUACUCGAAAAUCCUCAGCUGAAAACAACUUCCAAGGGUUCGUGCAUUCAGUCCAACCCCUGCCUCCAUACAGAAUGUCAUUUGAUGCAGAGAGAGCACAAGCAGAGGGAGUGGCAGGCAGAGGGAGAAGGAGAAGCAGUCUCCCUGAUCAGCAGGGAGCCCACUGCUGGCUCCAUCCCAGGACCCUGGGAUC
rnacentral:lncRNA from 1 species